rnacentral:lncRNA from 1 species
GGUAAUUUUUAAAAUCAAAAGUUGGAAUUUGGUGGAUGAACUCGCUUACUUGAACAGUAAAAUAGGUAAUCGAUAUCCCUUGAGCACAGAGUAGGUAGAACCAAAAAUUAGUAAGAAAGCUGAGUAGGAUAGUUGCUGUCGGUGAUUGUUAUCUGAGCAGUGAGCAGAGCGAGCCUCUGAUUUGACUCUUUCCAAUCCAGCGCAGAGCUUUCAGCCGCUCAAUUGGCCAGUCAAAGUCCAAGUGGAGCGAAGUGUGGACACGCAACUAUAUUUCCUAAAUCUCGCUAUUGGUUUUAAUCCUAAUUCGAUUCAAGAAUGAGAGU